CGAAUACAUACGGUUUGCUACAGCUCUAAUGUAAACACAAAAGUAUUUGUUGAACCUGUGGGUUUUGGACGGAUCUUUGCGAGUUGACCUUAAUACAAAUAUAACAAGAUUAUUCAAGCUACUUGAGCAAUAUCAAGAUUAUGGAUGAUUAUGAACUCACAGUUGGCGUGUAGUUAAUAAAACCAUGAUCUGCAAAGGCAUUGCAAAAUGGAUUAUUUCUGAGAAAAUAAAUGGUAGACUUGCUGUGGUGGUUGCCAGUUCGUUUUCGAGACAUGGUACGAGAUGACAUGGCGUGCUGUAGAAAAUCCAGUUACUGCAUCUAAGAGCCCUGCGAUGGCAGCGACUAGCAGCUGUGGUGAUUUGAGUGAGUCGUCGAGUGCCGAGGAUAAGGUCGGUGCAGCCAGAUUGCUGGACAGCUACGAACCCAAGACUGACCUCACUUCGCUGUGUGAGGCGACAUACGCGGACGGUCAGCGGCAGAAGCGUGCGUUCACCUGCCCCACGUGCGGCAAGGUGUUCCGGUCCGGCGGGAACCUCAAGACGCACGAGCGCGUGCACUCGGGGGAACGGCCGCACGCCUGCGCCUCGUGCGGGCAGCGCUUCAGCACGGCCAGCAACCUCAAGACGCACAUGCGCACGCACACGCUGGAGCGGCCGUUCUCGUGCGACCAGUGCCGACAGUGCUUCGCCACCAGCUCCAACCUCAAGGUGCACUACCGCAUGCACACCGGCGAGCGCCCCUAUUGCUGCAGUGUCUGCGGGCACGACUUCACAGGCCUCGGCAACUACAAAUGCCACAUGCGGAUUCACACCGGGGAGAAACCUUUCCACUGCUCGGUGUGCGAGCGCAGCUUCACUUCCUCCAACAACCUUAGGACCCACCUGUGGAGCCACACAGGCUUCAAGCCCUUCCAGUGCAGUGUGUGUGGCCAGCAGUUUGGCACCAAGAGCAACUUCAAGACGCACACCAAGUCGCAGAGCUGCACCAAGCUCUACUCUUGCAAACGAUGCCACUGCGACUACACGUCCUGGGCAGCAUUCCGCAAGCACGUCUCCUCCGGUUGCCAGGAUGUGGACAGUGUGCCCUCGCUAGUCGACUCUCGGGUCCCAAGCCCUACCGCAUGAAGACACAGGUUCCCAGCGAGCUCCCAGCCGUGGAACCCUGCUGCAAGGGUGGCCUGUUUUAACCCUGCAGUUUUUAGUAGAGUUUUCGGACUUUUCAUCUAGAAGUUACGUCCCAGGUGUGCGGUGCAAGCCCAGGUGGUUUGUGGAUCCACCGAAACAUAGUUUUCCGCGUUUCUCCGUACCAAGAACACAAGAGUCACUAGGGACAUUAUUUCAUUUGAGGCACAAGACUCAAAGAGUUAUGAUCAGCGAAACUGAGUGAGGGCAGUCAUUCAAAAUGUUGGGAAUGAAUUGUAAUAAUUUUCAACAAAAGAAGAAUAAAUUUAAAAUUCCA